rnacentral:rRNA from 1 species
AGAGCGAACGCUGGCGGCAGGCUUAACACAUGCAAGUCGAGCGGGCGUAGCAAUACGUCAGCGGCAGACGGGUGAGUAACGCGUGGGAACAUACCUUUUGGUUCGGAACAACACAGGGAAACUUGUGCUAAUACCGGAUAAGCCCUUACGGGGAAAGAUUUAUCGCCGAAAGAUUGGCCCGCGUCUGAUUAGCUAGUUGGUGAGGUAACGGCUCACCAAGGCGACGAUCAGUAGCUGGUCUGAGAGGAUGAUCAGCCACAUUGGGACUGAGACACGGCCCAAACUCCUACGGGAGGCAGCAGUGGGGAAUAUUGGACAAUGGGCGAAAGCCUGAUCCAGCCAUGCCGCGUGAGUGAUGAAGGCCCUAGGGUUGUAAAGCUCUUUUGUGCGGGAAGAUAAUGACGGUACCGCAAGAAUAAGCCCCGGCUAACUUCGUGCCAGCAGCCGC